rnacentral:tRNA from 1 species
ACUCGAAUAGCUUAUGUAGAGCAUAACAUUGAAGAUGUUAGGGUGAUUAUUUAAAUCUUUGAGUG